rnacentral:rRNA from 1 species
UACGUAGGGUGCGAGCGUUAAUCGGAAUUACUGGGCGUAAAGCGUGCGCAGGCGGUUUUGUAAGCCAGAUGUGAAAUCCCCGGGCUUAACCUGGGAAUGGCAUUUGGGACUGUAAGGCUGGAGUUUGGCAGAGGAGACUGGAAUUCCUGGUGUAGCAGUGAAAUGCGUAGAUAUCAGGAGGAACACCGAUGGCGAAGGCAGGUCUCUGGGCUGAAACUGACGCUCAUGCACGAAAGCGUGGGGAGCAAACAGG